CGAAAGGCAAGAUUUUUUUUGGUCAUUGUUGAUCUUCGAGACACAUUGACAUACUGUUGCCGUGUGCCUGUGGGAGCAGGAUCUUGAUGCUGAGACAGACCAGAGACACCCUUUCAGCUCUCAAUGUCUCCAGCCCUCUGCCAGAUCUGGUCACGAAGGCCCUGCUGCCCUCUUCUGGUGACCUUCUGUCAGCGCAGGAGGUGGCCAGUGCCGUGGUGACCGUCCUGCAGAGUCCACUUCCAGGCUGGCCUAGCUGGACGCUAGGAGGAGAGGUAUCUAUUGAGCUUCGGAGAACAGUUAUCUUCCUGUUGAUGACGAUGCCUGGAACUCCUGUGAUUGAGGAUGAAGACCUCAGCAUCUUCCAGAAUGAUUCAGCAGACUCUGGGUCUCGAAUGAGUCUGGAGGAGCAUUCCGAGAUGGCUCUCCUGAAAUCUCUGACGAGCUGCCGGUCUCGAGAGGAGGCUCUGCUCUUUGGCAGCUUAAUGCCGCUCCCCUUCAAUGGCACACACUCAAACGUUUCUUCCACUCCUUCGCCAUCUUCUCCACCACCUCUGGCGUUCUUACGAUCCUGGGGGUGCGUUCACUUUCUGGUGGUGUUGAACCUGGGAUCCGAAUCCCGUUUCCUGAAUCCCGAUUGGCUGCUGGCCAUUCCAACAUCGGGGAUCUUUGUGGCCAGCACUGAGAUGGGUCGCAUGGGAUCCAUCUCCCUGGAGACAUUGAGGUUGGAACCUCAAGAAGCCGUUGUCAUUAAGCUGUUUGAGACUGAACGGUUUUCGGCCUGAAGUCUGAAUUUAUGGAAUGAAAGUCUGAAUACAUGGAAUGAAAUCUGACGUCACCAAGCCGUUGGCACCAUUUUGAGAAUGUUAGGGUUAGGGUUAGGGUUAGGGUUCGCUAAACAGGUGAAUUGUUCCUCACACGAGUGAUUCUGCACCAAACCCAGUCGCAGCAGAUUUAAGCAGCGACGACAUAAUAAACGCUCUGGCUAAUGCUUGCA
rnacentral:lncRNA from 1 species